UUUUGUUGGAAAUAGAAAAAUGCUCUUCAAGGACAGGGCUUUUUACAAUUUUCUUUUCACUGAAAUACCCCCAUACAGUCACGGUAUAUAGCCUAUUGUAUGUACCGCUGUUUAUAUAAAUUGACCUACCAUGCACUGAAUUUGUACCUAGGGCGUAACAAAAUUAAAACACAGAAUCAUAUAGAAAGGUAGUCGUUUCCCUUUCAACUCAAGACUGUAAGAAAGUGCUAGAAACUUCCACAAGCAUCAGCGGCUCGCACGCACGCACAUCCGGCUAUGAAGCUGCUCCUCUGGUUCUGCAAGGGAAUGUUCUGGGCAUCUUGACGUCAACAAGUCACGGCACUGGAUGUAUAAAAGCAGGGCGAGCCACAUCAGCGCUCUCCUUUUCAUCUGAUCUUCUAAGACUGCAAGAGGGUUAGUGAAACUGGUUUCUACGACAUUCUUGGUGUGAUGCCCAGUGUGUUUCUGGAAGAAUUGAAGAAGGCGUACAAAAAACUGACUGUGAAAUACCACCCUGACAAAACUCAUACGUGUUUCUCAGGCCUACAGCGUUUUGUCAGACCCAAAGAAACGAGACCUUUAUCAGCAGGGAGGGGAACAGGCUAUCAAAGGAGGAAUGAGAAGAGGGAGGUUCUCCUCCCCCCGCUCCAGGGGUGGAUGCUGGAUAAUCAGGAAGAGGAGAGGUGACUUAUCCCUGACAGGCAAGAAUGCUGUGCACCAGCUGCAGUGCCGACUCCAGAGGAGAUGCAAGCGAGCAGCAGCAGCACAUUUUCAGAAAAUGACUUAUUAUUAUUAUUAUUAUGGUUUUCAUUAUGAUUGCAAUUAUGAUUAUGAUAAUAAUUACAAUUAUGAUUAUGGUUAUGAUUAUAAGAUUAUAAUAAUGAUUGUAAUUCUGAUUAUGAUUGUAAUUAUGAUUAUGAUUGUAAUCGUGAUUAUGAUUGUAAUUCUGAUUCUGAUUGUAAUUGUGAUUAUGAUUGUAAUUGUGAUUAUGAUUGUAAUUAUGAUUAUGAAUAUAAUUAUGAUUAUGAUUGUGAUUAUGAUUAUGGAUGUAAUUAUGAUUAUGAUUAGUUAUGAUUGCAAUUAUGAUUGUGAUUACAAUAAUAAUAAUAAUUGCAAGUUGAAUUUGGGCAGCAGUGUGGAGUAGUGGUUAGGGCUCUGGACUCUUGACCGGAGGAUCGUGGGUUCAAUCCCACGUAGGGGACACUGCUGCUGUACCCUUGAGCAAGGUACUUUACCUAGAUUGCUCCAGUAAAAAAAACAACUGUAUAAAUGGGUAAUUGUAUGUGACAUAAUGAAUAAAAAUAAAUAAAACUAAUGUAAUAUCUUGUAACAAUUGGAAGAGGGCAUCUGUUAAGAAAUAAAUAAUAAUUAGAAUUGACUGAGUUUUUAUAUUUUUACUGAUAUAGUGUCAAAACAAACUGUUUGAAUAUCUUUCUUACUUUUGUACCAUCUCACUUCACUCAAUUUGAUAAUAUUAUAGACUAUAUAACA